GCCUCUGCCUGGCAGGCCGCGCUAGCCGAGCGCAGAGCGCCCCGCACGUGGCCCGUCACAGGGCCGGCGCCGCGUCACGGGCUGGGCAGCGCCCGCUGCGCGCGGAGCCCGGCUCGCGCCGCCGGCUGUCGCGGACCGGGGCACGCGGGCGCAGGACGAGGCAGACCAGCGGGGAGAUCCUGCACGUCCUGGGGGGGCUGGUGCAUGUGACGAGUGGCAGGCGGCAGGGAGACCCAUCUUGGGCAUGCAGAGUCCCCACGCGGGGAAGUCUAGCAGUAGAGGGGAGCCUCUAGUACUGCACUGCAGAGAGAGGUUUUUGGGAAGUCCUGGGACCGAGGACAACUCUGCGUUCUCGUCUAAACUUCGUCAGCAUCUCACACGGUGUCGCUCGCCGCUUAAUAACCAGUGAUUCAAGUAAAGGACAAAAAAAAUCAGACUUUGUUUAUUAAAAAAAUACUUUACAGGAAAAAAUUCUAUGCAUUCCAUUGUACUAUUUUACAAAGAAAUAGCUCAACAAUUUUAACACGCUUGUACAGUCAGCUACUAAAAGAAAUGCACUGUGUUAGAGGAUUAUUCACACAGAAGUUUAGAAUUUUUGUAUCUGUUUACACUACUCAUUAUAAAAGCCUCUUUAAAACACUUGUUAAAUGUCAAUAAAUAUACUAAGGCCGCACAAAGCAAACAGUCUUCCAGGCAAUGGUACGUGUCCUCUGUAGGCAGAGACCUUAGAUAAAUUAAAACCACAGGAAAAAAAAAUAAUCUUAGCUGCCAAUUAAAAACCAAAUAAUUAAAAAAAAAAAA